GGAAGAUGAACGUGUCCGGUGGCGCGGCUGGACUUCAAAUCCAGACGGGGUUUUUAUAAAGCCCCGGAAGGUUCGACUCCUUCCAUCUUCC
rnacentral:tRNA from 1 species